rnacentral:misc_RNA from 1 species
AGAAGGAAAGCCCCAGAAAAGGAAAAACGGGAAAGGAGAAGAAGGGGACGGGGAGAAGAGAAGAACAAAGAAAAGAAAAAGAGAGAAGGAAAGAAAAAGAGGAAAAGAAAGAAAGAAAGGGAAGUUCUGAACUUGAUUUGCAUGGAGAAUCAACCAAUUUUGGGUAGAAAAUGAGAGUUUAUGGUGAGAGAUUGUAAGUUUUAGAGAGAGAGAAACAAUAGUUUUGGUUAGGGAGAAAAAGUAAAUUUCAAACAAAAAAAAUUUCUAUUUUAACAUUUUUCUUGAAUUAUACAGAUGUUUAUGAGAAUCCUUAAUUCUUGAAUCAUUCUCAAAUAAGGUACACACUAUUUUCUAUGAAUUUUUGAAGUUUAUUAGUUUGUUUUAGAUUUUUAGCUUUAUUUAAGUUUAAUCAAUUCAAGAAUAUGUUUUUUUGGAUGUUUGAGUGCUAGAAAUAUAUUAAAAUAUAUUUUUUAUUGGUAAAUUUUUAUGAAUUUUUAUUGUUGAUGUUAUUAUUAUUGUUAUUAAUAUUAUUAUUUGAGAGAAUAGUUUACAUAAUAGUGAGUUUUUAAGAGGGAAUAAGUUUAUUUUGAACUAAAGGAUGAUAUUGGUGUAUGCACAUUAUGUAA